rnacentral:rRNA from 1 species
AACCGGAUUAGAUACCCUGGUAGUCCACGCCGUAAACGAUGUCGACUUGGAGGCUGUUCCCUUGAGGAGUGGCUUCCGGAGCUAACGCGUUAAGUCGACCGCCUGGGGAGUACGGCCGCAAGGUUAAAACUCAAAUGAAUUGACGGGGGCCCGCACAAGCGGUGGAGCAUGUGGUUUAAUUCGAUGCAACGCGAAGAACCUUACCUACUCUUGACAUCCAGAGAACUUUCCAGAGAUGGAUUGGUGCCUUCGGGAACUCUGAGACAGGUGCUGCAUGGCUGUCGUCAGCUCGUGUUGUGAAAUGUUGGGUUAAGUCCCGCAACGAGCGCAACCCUUAUCCUUUGUUGCCAGCGAUUCGGUCGGGAACUCAAAGGAGACUGCCGGUGAUAAACCGGAGGAAGGUGGGGAUGACGUCAAGUCAUCAUGGCCCUUACGAGUAGGGCUACACACGUGCUACAAUGGCGCAUACAAAGAGAAGCGACCUCGCGAGAGCAAGCGGACCUCAUAAAGUGCGUCGUAGUCCGGAUCGGAGUCUGCAACUCGACUCCGUGAAGUCGGAAUCGCUAGUAAUCGUGGAUCAGAAUGCCACGGUGAAUACGUUCCCGGGCCUUGUACACACCGCCCGUCACACCAUGGGAGUGGGUUGCAAAAGAAGUAGGUAGCUUAACCUUCGGGAGGGCGCUUACCACUUUGUGAUUCAUGACUGGGGUGAAGUCGUAACAAGGUAGC